rnacentral:rRNA from 1 species
CUACGGGGGGCAGCAGUGGGGAAUAUUGCACAAUGGGCGCAAGCCUGAUGCAGCCAUGCCGCGUGUGUGAAGAAGGCCUUCGGGUUGUAAAGCACUUUCAGCGGGGAGGAAGGCGUUAAGGUUAAUAACCUUGGCGAUUGACGUUACCCGCAGAAGAAGCACCGGCUAACUCCGUGCCAGCAGCCGCGGUAAUACGUAGGGUGCAAGCGUUAAUCGGAAUUACUGGGCGUAAAGCGCACGCAGGCGGUCUGUCAAGUCGGAUGUGAAAUCCCCGGGCUCAACCUGGGAACUGCAUUCGAAACUGGCAGGCUAGAGUCUUGUAGAGGGGGGUAGAAUUCCAGGUGUAGCGGUGAAAUGCGUAGAGAUCUGGAGGAAUACCGGUGGCGAAGGCGGCUCACUGGCUCGAUACUGACGCUGAGGUGCGAAAGCGUGGGGAGCAAACAGGAUUAGAUACCCGGGUAGUC